UACGUAGGGUGCAAGCGUUAAUCGGAAUUACUGGGCGUAAAGCGUGCGCAGGCGGUUCGGAAAGAAAGAUGUGAAAUCCCAGAGCUUAACUUUGGAACUGCAUUUUUAACUACCGGGCUAGAGUGUGUCAGAGGGAGGUGGAAUUCCGCGUGUAGCAGUGAAAUGCGUAGAUAUGCGGAGGAACACCGAUGGCGAAGGCAGCCUCCUGGGAUAACACUGACGCUCAUGCACGAAAGCGUGGGGAGCAAACAGGAUUAGAUACCCUGGUAGUCCACGCCCUAAACGAUGUCAACUAGCUGUUGGGGUCUUCGGACCUUGGUAGCGCAGCUAACGCGUGAAGUUGACCGCCUGGGGAGUACGGUCGCAAGAUUAAA
rnacentral:rRNA from 1 species